rnacentral:rRNA from 1 species
ACCUACGGGGCGCAGCAGUAGGGAAUCUUCCACAAUGGGCGAAAGCCUGAUGGAGCAACGCCGCGUGGGUGAAGAAGGUCUUCGGAUCGUAAAACCCUGUUGUUAGAGAAGAAAGUGCGUGAGAGUAACUGUUCACGUUUCGACGGUAUCUAACCAGAAAGCCACGGCUAACUACGUGCCAGCAGCCGCGGUAAUACGUAGGUGGCAAGCGUUAUCCGGACUUAUUGGGCGUAAAGGGAACGCAGGCGGUCUUUUAAGUCUGAUGUGAAAGCCUUCGGCUUAACCGGAGGAGUGCAUUGGAAACU